AUUGAACGCUGGCGGCAGGCCUAACACAUGCAAGUCGAGCGAGCGGCGGACGGGUGAGUAAUGUCUGGGAAACUGCCUGAUGGAGGGGGAUAACGACUGGAAACGGUAGCUAAUACCGCAUACCAUCAGAUGUGCCCCGAUGGGAUUAGCUAGUAGGUGGGGUAACGGCUCACCUGGGCGACGAUGCCUAGCUGGUCUGAGAGGAUGACCAGCCACACGGGAACGGAGACACGGUCCAGACUCCCACGGGAGGCAUCAGUGGGGAAUAUUGCACACUGGGCGCAAGCCUGAUGCAGCCAUGCCGCGUGUAUGAAGAAGGCCUUCGGGUUGUAAAGUACUUUCAGCGAGGAGGCGUUACUCGCAGAAGAAGCACCGGCUAACUCCGUGCCAGCCGCCGCGGUAAUAC
rnacentral:rRNA from 1 species